UGGGGAAUAUUGCACAAUGGGCGCAAGCCUGAUGCAGCCAUGCCGCGUGUGUGAAGAAGGCCUUCGGGUUGUAAAGCACUUUCAGCGAGGAGGAAGGUGGUGAGCUUAAUACGCUCAUCAAUUGACGUUACUCGCAGAAGAAGCACCGGCUAACUCCGUGCCAGCAGCCGCGGUAAUACGGAGGGUGCAAGCGUUAAUCGGAAUUACUGGGCGUAAAGCGCACGCAGGCGGUUUGUUAAGUCAGAUGUGAAAUCCCCGGGCUCAACCUGGAACUGCAUUGAACUGGCAAGCUAGAGUCUCGUAGAGGGGGGCUAGAAUUCCAGGUGUAGCGGUGAAAUGCGUAGAGAUCUGGAGGAAUACCGGUGGCGAAGGCGGCCCCCUGGACGAAGACUGACGCUCAGGUGCGAAAGGCGUGGGGCAGC
rnacentral:rRNA from 1 species